rnacentral:lncRNA from 1 species
AAUAAGAAAUCAUCAACAAACUCUCAUCAGGAAAGUCAUCCUGGAUGGGCACCUGAUGAGUCGAUAUUUUAUUGAUUUCACUUAGUUUAUUGUGCUAGAAUUAAUCAGGGAAUUGUGCUUAAUUGUCCGGUAUUUUCCCGUUUUUCCUAAAUAUGCUUAAUUUGAUCAGGAAUUGUGAUUGAAUGUUUGAUUUUAUCUUUCUUCCAACGUGUUGUUGGUCUGGUGCUAAUGGGAUACGAAGCUACACUUAUUAAGAAAUUAUUUUUUUAUUUUACUAUGACUCUCGAAAC